UACGUAGGGUGCAAGCGUUGUCCGGAAUUAUUGGGCGUAAAGAGCUCGUAGGCGGUCUGUCGCGUCGGCUGUGAAAACUGGAGGCUCAACCUCCAGCCUGCAGUGGGUACGGGCAGACUAGAGUGCGGUAGGGGAGAUUGGAAUUCCUGGUGUAGCGGUGGAAUGCGCAGAUAUCAGGAGGAACACCAAUGGCGAAGGCAGAUCUCUGGGCCGUAACUGACGCUGAGGAGCGAAAGCAUGGGGAGCGAACAGG
rnacentral:rRNA from 1 species